UGCAUGCAUGUGUUUGUAUAUGCAUGUGUGUGGCUGUGUGUGCAUGCAUGUGUUGGAUUGUAUAUGCAUGUGUGUGGCUGUGUGUGCAUGCAUGUGUGUGUGCAUGUGUGUGCAGUUGUGUGUGUAUGCAUGUUCUUGGUUGUGUGUACAUGCAUGCAUGUCUGGUUCUAUAUACAUGCAUGUAUGUGCAGUAGUGUAUGCAUGGGUGUAUGUGUCGUUAUAUGUGCAUAAAUGAUAUAUGGUUGUGUGUGCAUGUAUGCAUGUGGUUG
rnacentral:lncRNA from 1 species